CCAGCCCAUUGACUUAUGUCCACUGUAGUGGACAUUUGAGUUUCAUCCCUCUCCUUGGAAUCUUUCGUGCAAGUCUCUUAAUUCCUGCUGUACUGUACAGAGGACAUCCUGGGCUUUUAAGUGAUAUGUUAUUUGAUUGGCUGGGAGGCCGGGAAUCCCCUCAAUCUUUCAAUCCAAAAUGGACGGCAUAGGAACAAGCACAUUUUAUGGAAAGAUAAAAGAUUUGCACCUGUGUUACCUGGGCUUCCUGUGUGUCAAGAUGACCCUACAACACGUGCAGACUGGAGUCCAAUUGAAUAUUUUUCACAGUACAUUGACAACAAGGUCUUUGAAGAUUUGGCAACAUACACAAAUCAAAGAGAGCUGCAAAGCAAAGGAGUGUGUAUGAACACUACGCCUCAAGAAAUAAAAAUCUUCUUUGGCAUUUCAGUCCACAUGGCCUGCCUUGGCUAUCCCAGAAUUAAAAUGUUUUGGGCCAAAAAAACUAAAGUGCCAGUCAUAAGUAGCAAAAUGUCUAGGGAUAGAUUCUUCAGGAUAAGAAACUCCCUCAAGAUUGUCAAUGACCUGGCUGUAACAGAGGAAACAAAGAAGGCAGAUAUUCUUUGGAAAAUACGGACAUAACAAAGUGUUAAGCUUUAAUAGUAAAGAUAUACUUGCAAAAUGUAAGGAAAAUGAUUCAAGAAUGAUAAAUGUGUCUAUUGUAUAAUCAAAAUGUCUGUAUUCUUGGAUAAUAGUCAAUUUACAGCCCAAAAUGUAUGUAUUCUUAGUUAAAAAAACUUUAUAAUCUGGUAAAAUUUGUAUCUACCAAAUGUGUUUGUUUUCGUACUCAAAUGAUCCUGUUGUCCACUACAGUGGACAUGCUGUAUAACAAAAAUAAAAAAUAAAAAUAAAAA